rnacentral:rRNA from 1 species
AAUGAACGCUGGCGGUAGGCCUAACACAUGCAAGUCGAGCGCGCCCUCAGGGGUGAGUGGCGCACGCGUGAGUAACGCGUGGGAACGUGCCGUUCUCCGCGGAAAUGUACCGGGUAACUGAGAGUAAUACAGCAUAAGUCACGCGGGUACCAGAUUCAACGUAGAAGGAACGGCACGCGUUGGUCUAGGCUGUUGGUGGUGUAAGGGCCCACCAAGCAGUAGAUACAUAGCUGGUUUGAGAGGAUGGUCAGCCACACUGAGUCUGGGACACGGCCCAGACUCCUACGGGAGGCAGCAGUGGGGAAUCUUAGACAAUGGGGUCAAUCCAGAACGAGCCAUGCCUCGUGAGUGAUGAAGUCCUGAGGGUUGUACAGCUCUUUCAGCUGGGGAGAUAAUGACGGUACCAGCAGAAGAAGCCCCGGCUAACUCCGUG